AUUGAACGCUGGCGGCAGGCCUAACACAUGCAAGUCGAGCGAGAGGCGGACGGGUGAGUAAUGUCUGGGAAAAUGCCUGAUGGAGGGGGAUAACUACUGGAAACGGUAGCUCAUACCGCAUACCAUCAUAUGUGCCCAGAUGGGAUUAGCUCUUAGGUGGGGUAACGGCUCACCUAGGCGACGAUCCCUAGCUGGUCUGAGAGGAUGACCAGCGACACUGGAACUGAGACACGGUCCAGACGCCUACGUGAGGCAGCAGUGGGGAAUAUUGCACGAUGGGCGCAAUCAUGAUACAGCCAUGCCGCGUGUGUGAAGGAGGCCUUCGGGUUGUAAAGCACUUUCAGCGGGGAGGCGUUACCCGCAGAAGAAGCACCGGCUAACUCCGUGCCAGCAGCCGCGGUAAUUC
rnacentral:rRNA from 1 species